GACGAGGUUGAUAGGUUCGAGGUGGAAGCGCAGCAAUGCGUGGAGCUGACGAAUACUAAUCGGUCGAGGGCUUAUCCAAAA
rnacentral:rRNA from 1 species